UACGUAGGUGGCAAGCGUUGUCCGGAUUUACUGGGCGUAAAGGGCGUGCAGGCGGUCUGUUAAGUCUAGGGUGAAAGCUCCCGGCUCAACUGGGAGAGGUCCUUGGAUACUGGCGGACUUGAGGGAGGCAGAGGAAAGUGGAAUUCCCGGUGUAGUGGUGAUAUGCGUAGAUAUCGGGAGGAACACCAGUGGCGAAGGCGGCUUCCUGGCCUGUUCUUGACGCUGAGGCGCGAAAGCUAGGGGAGCAAACAGG
rnacentral:rRNA from 1 species